UGGUGCCAGCUCCCAGCUCAGGCAGGGCCAUCCCAGAGCACAGGGCACAGCAUUGUGCCCAGAGGGCUCUGCAGGAUCCCCGCUGAGGGAGACUCCAGCCCCUCCCUGGGCAGCCUGUUCAGGGCUGGGCAGUGCCCAGGGCAGAAGUUCUGCCUCCUGGGCAGGGGCAGCUCCUGGGCUCCGGCCCUGCCCGUGGCUCUGGUGCCACUGCUGGGCCUGGAGCAGAGCCUGGGCCCUGCUCUGCCCUCCCUGCACACAGGGACAGCCAGGGCUGAGGGCCCCUCUCAGCUGGGGCUCCUCUCCAGGCUGAGCAGCCCCAGCUCCCUCAGCCUUCCAGCAAGGAAUGAGCAGCCUGAAGGCUGUAAAAACUGCACACGAGGAAUUCCCACUGUGUCUGGCUGACUGGUGUGGAGCGGGAAGAAGAAAACCUCCCAGCCAUUGCACAGCCCCUCCUCUGGCUCCGUGCUCUGCAGAGCUGGCCUGGAAUGCAAUACCCCACCCUCUCCCACCCAGCACAGCUUGAAGGAAGUUCAGGAAGAAAGACACCUUCUGUUUAAUCAUAUCAGAAUUACAGAAAAUUGUACAUCUAUAAACUGCAUUACCAUGGGGGGAAAAGUGCCUUUGUGUGCCCCACACACCUCCCUGCAGUGUGGGACUGCCUUCCCUGACACACAUCUUGUCUUUUUAUGAGACUGUUUGGAUAAUAUAAUUCUGCACUCUCUAACAGCCACAAUAACAACUUGUUUGGACCACUGUGAACCAGCAGGAGGUCAUUAAGUCCUAGAGAAUGUUUGCAGCUAUUUUGGCACAGGUGUAUUUGUUAUGACACGGGAAAGCUGCACUAUUUCACCAGGUUUAAUAGGUAAUAGAUAUGCCCAAGCACAUCCUUCUUGCAAGGCUACGAGGAGCUUUUAGCAAUAACCCUUGAGGAUGUGUUGGGCAAACUCAUCUUGCAACAUCUUCAAAUAUAGACAGAAAAUUAUGUGAACUAUGGAAAAUCACCGUGAUUCAGGGACAGUGCACUAGACUAGAAGAUUAAAGUUCUGCUCCAGCUCCCUCAAGAUGCAGUUAGGUCAGUGCUUGGCCCUGUUUCCUUUUCCAGGAUUUAGAUGAUGAGCUUUCCCAGGCAGGGGCUGGUGUAAAACAAGAAUCAGCUCUUGCUUAAGGCCUCUCUGUAUUCGUUUCAUGAGAAUAAUAAUAAGGAUUUUUUAAAAAGGUCAAAUUCAAGCUUGGCAGAAUGCCAGAACUCCUCACUGUGGUUCAAAGAAAGCAUUUGAGUAAGUAAAUGUAAGAUAAAAUAAUUUAUUUCCUUGCACUACUCCCUGUUGUGUUUGAGAUGUUUGAGAAGUACCUCACUGGGUUUUUUCCCUUUCCUGUGAAGCUGACAGCCAUGAGCAUUCAAUAAUCAUGUCCUGAGCUCAUGUACCUGGUUUGCCAUGGGGCCCUGACAACCACUGAUAUAAUAUAUAUAUAUAAUAUAUAAUAUAUAAUCCUUCCACAACAUGCAGAAGGCUGAAACUGCACUGAUCUCCAGUGCAACAAAGCAAAUACAGAGAAAAGCAAUGUAAAUACACAGAAAAUCAAUAUAAAUAUGCAGAAAAUACACAGAAAAUCACACGGGCCCAUUAAUACUUAAGAAACUGCUGUGGCUCCACUCAACAUAUCAGCCCAGUGUGAGACACAUGUGUGUGCACAUACUUGCACACUUGUGCACAGGUACACACACAGCUGUGGCCAUAGGCCCUGUGGGGAGGAUUUAUUUUAAUUAUUAUCAAGACAAGGCUGUCAAAUUGAUUCUGGGGGAAGGAGGGAGGGCAGCACAAGCAAAUGGUUCUGGCUGCAGGUCAGGACCCUCGCUUGCUCCUCACCCUCCCUGUCUGGAGGGAUUCAACCCCUCCUGCUCCCAGGAUGCCAAGUCUGACAUUUGUGUUGGAAGCGCUCCAGCACUCACU